GCACAUUGAAAGAGAGAGAAUCUUAAAUGGCCUGAAACUCAGACUGAAGAAAUCUAAGAUUGAGGCAGUGCCAUCCAGCAAACCUGAUGCAGUGGAAAAAGUACAAAUAAGAUCAGGAACCCUGCUCUUUUGCCUCUUGAGGAGAACAGUGUUCUGAGGUUCAGUGUGCUGCCAGAGUCGUUCAACUUCAAUGAUGGGCAAGAACCCAUGGACACUCGGACACAGAUGGGUUCAAUGAAGGAAAUGGCUGGUCCUGUUGCUGCAACGACUGAGAGUCCUAAAACAAUAGUCCAGAAAUCCCAAGUAGGUUCAUGGUCUGCUGGCCCUCAGAAGAGAUAUUGUCCUCUCACCUCUUCGACCACUAAAGUCCCCAAGUCUUCCUCCACCGCCUUCCAGGAGUUUCAGAGGAAAUUCCAGCAGCUAUCCCAAGACUAGUUUGUAUUCCCUCCUGUUAUGAAAUGGAGGAGUGGAGUGAGGAUUGUUGACAAUCUGAUUCUUGUAACACGUUUCC